GAUUUAAAACCUAGUAAUAUAGCUGUCAAUGAAGAUUGUGAACUGAAGAUUUUAGACUUUGGUCUUGCUCGGCAUACAGAUGAAGAGAUGACUGGUUAUGUAGCCACCCGUUGGUAUAGGGCGCCUGAAAUCAUGCUGAAUUGGAUGCAUUAUAAUCAAACCGUGGACAUCUGGUCUGUAGGUUGUAUUAUGGCUGAAAUGUUAUGUGGAAAACCUCUAUUUCCUGGCAGUGAUCACAUAGAUCAGUUAACCAGGAUUUUGUCCCUGGUAGGGACUCCUAGUGAAGAACUAAU
rnacentral:sRNA from 1 species